rnacentral:rRNA from 1 species
UACGAAGGGGGCAAGCGUUGUUCGGAUUUACUGGGCGUAAAGCGUACGUAGGCGGAUCAUUAAGUCAGGGGUGAAAUCCCGGGGCUCAACCUCGGAACUGCCUUUGAUACUGGUGAUCUUGAGUCCGGGAGAGGUGAGUGGAACUCCUAGUGUAGAGGUGAAAUUCGUAGAUAUUAGGAAGAACACCAGUGGCGAAGGCGGCUCACUGGCCCGGUACUGACGCUGAGGUGCGAAAGCGUGGGGAGCAAACAGG